GACGAACGCUGGCGGCGUGCUUAACACAUGCAAGUCGUACGGUAAGGCCCUUUCGGGGGUACACGAGUGGCGAACGGGUGAGUAACACGUGAGUAACCUGCCCACAACUUUGGGAUAACGCUAGGAAACUGGUGCUAAUACUGGAUAUGUGCUCCUGCUGCAUGGUGGGGGUUGGAAAGCUCCGGCGGUUGUGGAUGGACUCGCGGCCUAUCAGCUUGUUGGUGGGGUAGUGGCCUACCAAGGCGGCGACGGGUAGCCGGCCUGAGAGGGUGACCAGCCACAUUGGGACUGAGAUACGGCCCAGACUCCUACGGGAGGCAGCAGUGGGGAAUAUUGCACAAUGGGCGCAAGCCUGAUGCAGCAACGCCGCGUGCGGGAUGACGGCCUUCGGGUUGUAAACCGCUUUCAGCAGGGACGAAGCUUUUUGUGACGGUACCUGCAGAAGAAGCACCGGCUAACUACGUG
rnacentral:rRNA from 1 species